rnacentral:piRNA from 1 species
UAUUGAGAUACAAAGGAUGAA